GGUAACUUUUAUAAAUUAGUUUUAUCAAGGUAAAGCGAAUGAUUAGAAGCUCGUGGGGAUAGAAACAUCCUCGUACUUAUUCUACAAAACUUUAAAUAGGUAAGAUGACUGUAGUACUUAAUUGACUAUCAGUCUCUUGAAUAGUAAGUUCUUAGUGGGCCUAUUUUUGGUAAGCAGAACUGGCGAUGUGGGAUGAACCAAACGUAAAGUUAAAAGUGCCUAAAAAUACGUUCAUCAGAUACCACAAAAGGUGUUGAUUCAUCUUGACAGUUGGACAGUGGCCAUGGAAGUCGGAAUCUGCUAAGGAGUGUGUAACAACUCACCAACCGAAUGAAUUAGCCCUGAAAAUGGAUGGCGCUUAAACGUAUUACUUAUACUUUACCAUUAAAGUAAAUGCUAAACUUUAAUGAGUAGGAGGGCGUAUGGAUAAUUUAGAAGGCUGACAGUGAUGUUGGCUGGAAUUAUCUUUAGUGCAGAUCUUGGUGGUAGUAGC
rnacentral:rRNA from 1 species